CAUGCAGUCGAGCGGAAGGCCCUUCGGGGUACUCGAGCGGCGAAGGGUGAGUAACACGUGAGUAACCUGCCCCAGGCUUUGGGAUAACCCCGGGAAACCGGGGCUAAUACCGGAUAUGACCAUCUGUCGCAUGGUGGGUGGUGGAAAGAUUUUUUGGCUUGGGAUGGGCUCGCGGCCUAUCAGCUUGUUGGUGGGGUGAUGGCCUACCAAGGCGGCGACGGGUAGCCGGCCUGAGAGGGCGACCGGCCACACUGGGACUGAGACACGGCCCAGACUCCUACGGGAGGCAGCAGUGGGGAAUCUUGCACAAUGGGCGGAAGCCUGAUGCAGCGACGCCGCGUGAGGGAUGACGGCCUUCGGGUUGUAAACCUCUUUCAGCAGGGACGAAGCGUUUGUGACGGUACCUGCAGAAGAAGCGCCGGCCAACUACGUGCCAGCAGCCGCGGUAAGACGUAGGGCGCAAGCGUUGUCCGGAUUUAUUGGGCGUAAAGAGCUCGUAGGCGGCUUGUCGCGUCGACUGUGAAAACCCGUGGCUCAACUGCGGGCUUGCAGUCGAUACGGGCAGGCUAGAGUUCGGUAGGGGAGACUGGAAUUCCUGGUGUAGCGGUGAAAUGCGCAGAUAUCAGGAGGAACACCGGUGGCGAAGGCGGGUCUCUGGGCCGAUACUGACGCUGAGGAGCGAAAGCGUGGGGAGCGAACAGGAUUAGAUACCCUGGUAGUCCACGCUGUAAACGUUGGGCGCUAGGUGUGGGGGGCCUCUCCGGUUCUCUGUGCCGCAGCUAACGCAUUAAGCGCCCCC
rnacentral:rRNA from 1 species